rnacentral:tRNA from 1 species
UGAUCCGUAACUGUGUGGGCGUGGUACUUGUUUUUAAUUAUGAUAUUUAUCGCUCGUCUAGCAUACAAGAGUCCUGGGUUCAAAUCCCAGCCGAGCAC